GCUUUUAUGAUAUAAUAAAUUCAUGGGUUAAAAGGCGGUGACUAAUCUUUCCGAAAGGGGUUGGUGCCUAUGAACAAGUGUUCGUAGACUUCAAAAUCUGAUGAAAGGAGGGUUAGCUGAACAUGUCUGUUCACGAUGCAAUAUCUUUAAUGAUAUUGUUCGGGAGCUUUUUGUUGGCAUUGUUGACGUAUAU
rfam:Weissella paramesenteroides ATCC 33313 genomic scaffold SCAFFOLD1, whole genome shotgun sequence.